UCUCCUAGGAGUUGGAAUAUGCCAUACCUUUUGCACCCAAACUACAAGUUCAAUAAAUAAUUGUGAAUUUUAUUCUAGGAAUGGAAUAUAUUCUAGCCAAGGAGUCUGGAUUGAGAAUGAAGAAAAUCUAAUGAAGCCUCCAGCCGGGUCAAUAAAUUGCAGUUGCUGGCAUGCUGUAAUCUCCCUAUUUCUCUCCUGACAGUUCCAGUCUGGGAAGAGUCGGCCGACAGUCGACAGCUAAUGAAGUGGAUGAAAAGUCAACAGGGAACACCUGAACGCAUCUCAGGAUCCUCCAUAAGAACACCAAACUUUGAAAACCUAUGAAUCUGGGUGAUUGUG
rnacentral:lncRNA from 1 species